rnacentral:rRNA from 1 species
GACAGAGGGUGCAAACGUUGCUCGGAAUCACUGGGCGUAAAGGGCGUGUAGGCGGGACAGUAAGUCGGGCGUGAAAUCCCUGGGCUCAACCCAGGAACUGCACUCGAAACUACUAUUCUUGAGUGUCGGAGAGGAAAGCGGAAUUCCUGGUGUAGAGGUGAAAUUCGUAGAUAUCAGGAGGAACACCAGUGGCGAAGGCGGCUUUCUGGACGAUAACUGACGCAUG